GGCGAACGUGGUGAGCAAUGCAUCGUGAACUGCCAGUAGUGGGGGAUAGCCCGGCUGAAAGCCGGAUUAAUACCGCAUACGACUACGGGUGAAAGCGGGGGACCGUAAGUGCCUCGCGCUAUUGGAGCGGGCGAUGUCAGAUUAGCUAGUUGGUGGGGUCAAAGCCUCACCAAGGCGCACUGAUCUGUCAGCUGGUCUGCACGACGGACGACCAGCCACACUGGGACUGAGACACGGCCAAAUCCUACGGGAGGCAGCAGUGGGGAAUCUUGGACAAUGGGGGCAACCCUGAUCCAGCCAUGCCGCGUGCUGGGAAGAAGGCCUUCGGAGUUGUAAACCGCUUUUGUCGGGGAAGAAACGGUCUGGCUAAUACCGGGGCUAAUGACGGUACCGAAUAAUAAGCACCCGGUAACUAGUGCCAGCAGCCCUGGNUCGGGGUUUAAAAUUAAACCGGAAANUGGGGGGCGGCCUUAAAGACCGUUUCUAGGGUUUCGCCAGGAGAUUUCUUUUCACNCUUCGGGCGGCCCANGUAUACAACACGCCCGAGCCUGGUUGNUUACAAGCGGCUGCGAAACUUUGGGGAACAAACCCGUUCAGGAG
rnacentral:rRNA from 1 species